GACGAACGCUGGCGGCGUGCCUAAUACAUGCAAGUUGAGCGAUGAAGAUUGGUGCUUGCACCAAUUUGAAGAGCAGCGAACGGGUGAGUAACGCGUGGGGAAUCUGCCUUUGAGCGGGGGACAACAUUUGGAAACGAAUGCUAAUACCGCAUAACAACUUUAAACAUAAGUUUUAAGUUUGAAAGAUGCAAUUGCAUCACUCAAAGAUGAUCCCGCGUUGUAUUAGCUAGUUGGUGAGGUAAAGGCUCACCAAGGCGAUGAUACAUAGCCGACCUGAGAGGGUGAUCGGCCACAUUGGGACUGCGACACGGCCCAAACUCCUACGGGAGGCAGCAGUAGGGAAUCUUCGGCAAUGGACGAAAGUCUGACCGAGCAACGCCGCGUGAGUGAAGAAGGUUUUCGGAUCGUAAAACUCUGUUGGUAGAGAAGAAAGUUGGUGAGAGUGGAAAGCUCAUCAAGUGACGGUAACUACCCAGAAAGGGACGGCUAACUACGUG
rnacentral:rRNA from 1 species